UUUUUUUUUUUUUUUUUUUUUUAGCGGUGAAAUUAACUUUUUGGUAAAGCCCAAUUCAAAGAUCUGAGAAGGGGGAAACCCUUCUCAGCUAGAAAAUUAAGGUUAGAUGUGUUUUAAAUUAAUAUCCAAAACAUCUUUUAGUGUGCUAUGGGGUAUAAUGUAAUUCCCCCUCCCAAAAUUGUCCCUGGAUAUGUUUAAGGUUGAUAAAAGCAGGUUGGGAAAAUCCCAAGGUACCAAUAAUCAAUAAGAAUUCUAGAAGGCAGAACUGCAUAUCUCAAAAACAGUACUUAGAAAUUCGACUUAAGCUAGACACUUACAUUAAAUGUUACAGCCUGAUAAAGAAGGCAUUAUUAUCCCCAUUCUACUCAUGAGCAAAUGAAGCCUUUGAGAUAUUAUAACUUCCCAAUGAGUCCAUAGGUAGUAAGUGGUGGAUUUGGCAUCUAAUUCCAGGCUCUCUUUACUCAACAGCUUGAACUAUUUAUACCAUAUUAUAUUGUAUUGGCACAACAAGCAGCUGCAUUCGUUAACUAUGUAAAUAAAAACAUUAAUUGGGCAUAAAUUAUAUGGUGUAAGUCACGAUAUGUUCUUUAGAUGGGAAAAUGAAACAAGGCACUCUACUUUCUGCUCUCAAGGAGUUCAAAUCUAGGAAAAGAAAAAGCUUCUUGAACAGAUAUUUAUAAAGCAGUGAGGUCGGUGUAACAGCAGAAGUGAUUGCACAGUGGAGUGAGAGUAUGGGUGAUGAAUAAGCUAUCUUAAAGGAUGAGUUGAAAUUUUUCCAAAUAGAUAGCAUGAAAAAAGAUUCCACUUGAGGAAAAUAAUGAAACAUAGGAUCUCAUAGUAUAUUAGGGAAUAGCAAUGACCCUUCAUGGGCUGAUAAUAGAGGCAGUAAAGUGAGGUGGGUAAGAUCACAGUCACAACAGCAAUACUUGAGAAUUAUAUUUAUGUGUGUGUUCUCCCCCGUUUUCCAACAUAAAAAUUUCCAAUAUCUUUAGAGCAAUAUUAAAGACUCCUCAUCCUCUGGUCUCUGCUCACAUACCCCAAGUUAUCUCGUUUCAAUACCCUAUAGCUAAAGUUCUAUCCUUUAUCCAUAAUGAUGAUCUUAGAGAGUGUUUAUUAGGAGUUAAUCAUUCUUUUAAGUACCUAAAAUAUACUAAUUCAUUUUUUCUUUUAAUUUUAAAACAAUUUUAAACUUACAGAAAAGUUGCAUUAGAAAAGUACAAAACAAAAUUUCUUUAUACCCUUCAUCCAGAGACCCCUUGCAAGUUUCGAUAACUAAUCCUAUGUAUUCUUUAAAAAAAAAAAAUCCAAUUCAGUACAAUUCAGAACCAAGUACCACUGUUUGCCAUGUCCCUCUAGUCUCCUUCAAUACAGAACAUUUCCUUUGUCCUUCCAUGACUUUCCCAGCCUUUAUAAAUGUGGAUAUUAGAGGGUCUUAUUUUAUAAAAUGUCCCAGAAUUGGGGUUUUUGUGAUGUUUCCUCAUGAUCAGUUGCAUGUUAUUCAUUUUUUAGCCAGAAUAUUGUAGUGUUACUGUGUUCUUAUCAGAUGAUAAAAUGGUGCUUAAGAAGCAAGAAGCUACAUAAAAAAAUGCCACUAGAUUUCAUGAUUCAUUCACUACUGGUGAUUUGAUUCUGUACUUCACAUGAUUUACUAGCAGUCUGUCUCUGUAACUGAAAAAUGGUAAAAACACUUCAAGAGUAAUGGCAUAUAAUUUACCUACUUGGAAAUCUUAUACAAUUCUCUGUGUAGAGCGAGUACUCAAUAUGAAGCUAUCAAAUUUAUCAAAAGAAAUUGAGAUGAACUUAAGUCACUUAGAUAACUUUACAAAGAGCAAUUCUAGAGGAGGACAGCAAAGAAUAGAAGUUGAAAGAAAUGUUUUAGGGGUUUGGAUUCAAAAAAGAAAAGUGACAGGAGAAAGGAUUUUUAGGUCUUUGGGGGAAUGUCUCAGGGAAGGGUAAAGAAAGAAUCAUUUUGAGGCUGCCUAAUUUGCUUCUAGAGAGAAAACAAAUUAAAUGUUUUACAGCAAUCUGAAAAAUAGUAGUGUAUUCAAUCUUAAAAACUGCCUCAGGAUGUAAAUAUUGUUGUUUUCUCAUUUUAUAGACAAAGGCGUUAUGAUGAAUCAAGUAUCCUGCCUAAAGUCAUACAACCAGAGACUGGCAGACAUAAGUUCCAAGUUUAUUAACCUUUCAUUCCUGUGCCCUGGUUCUCUGCAAGAGGCCUUUAAACUACAUCAUAUUUAAGCUCACUUGUAGUUCAAAAUUGUAUGAUAAAUGAGUGGGAAUGAAUUGUACUAUGAGAACAGAGAAAAGAGGUAGAAACUGAGGGAGAAGAUCUUGUCUUAUAGAGACGGCACAGUUUGUUAUUCAGGGGAUCCUUUAAAUUAAGAUGAAAACUUUCUAGCAAAAAUAUUAGCACUAGAUAAAGAAAGAGGACCAGGAGAGAGAGCAAAGGAAGCAGUAGUAGUUAUAACAGUUGUGGUAGCUUUUGAGAGUCCUACUAAGUAUCACACAUCGCUUUAUAUCAUAUAUAAUACCUGCUUACAAAAUUUCUUUUCUGGAAGGUAUUUCUAUCUUUUUAGAUUUGGGACUGCUUUUAACUACCAAUUAUUUUUAUGUAGGCCUCUGGCAUUUAGGAUGAGAUGGACAAGAAAAAUUUUCCUCUUUCUUUUCAAAUUCUCCCCACAAAAUGACCUUUGGGGCUGUGGUUCAGUUUUAAUGGCAGGCAGGAUAUAGCUGCUCUCAGGCAUGUCAAACAUCCAUGAAUUGUUAUUGUUUUCUCUCUCCAUUAUCAUUUAGACAAUCAAUACGUAUUUAGCUUCUUUAGUAAAUAAGUCAAUGAUUCUAAGCCUUCACCAUUAUUUGAACUCGCUAUAGUUUGUGUCUCUCUGGUAAUGAAAGGAUGAAAAACAAUCAUAUGGUUUUCCAGAAACAGAUCAUUAGUUGUGUAAGAGAAAGAUUGUCGCUUUCUUUUUUAUGGUGCAGUAACUUUUUGAACCCCAUUCAUAUUGUGUGUGUAUACUAUAAUAAAACUGUGUUUGAUGGUACCACAUUGAUUAUAAGUCAUAUGUGGAAUACAGUUAGCUUUUGCUGCUAUAAAACUUACCCAAAAGCUAAUGGUUUAAAAUAUAGUCACUUGUUUAUCUUACAGUUUUAUAGGAUGGUGAUUUCAGCUAGCCUCUUGGGCAGUUCUUUUGGUCUGGGACUGGCUUGGUUGAUCUCAGCUGGCCUCAUUCAUGCAUCUCUCAGCAGCUGGCUGGUUUGCUGUGAGUUGGCUUCUGUAUAAUGGUGACAAGCUGGAUGACUAGGGUCUCUAUCUACAAGGUUUCUCGCCGUUCAGAAGACUAGGCAGGUAUUCAUGUGGUGGCAGGAUUCUAGAGCAGCAUGAUGUUGCACACAAAUGGGCAAGUGCUUUUCCUAUUCCUUGUCUUAUCAUAUUUGUCAAACUGUCAGGUUUGCUGUUACUCAUUGGCUAAAUAAAGUCUCAUGGCCAAGCCUAAAGUCAUUGUGGGAAAGCAGCCACAAAUAUGGCACAUUUGUGAAAGUUGCAUACAAAUGCCCAGUGUGACAGUAUAUUAUAUAUAAUUAUAAAUAGUGGUUUCAGAAAUUAUGAUCAAACCACAUUCUAUCAUUUUGGUAAACUGACAAGUGAAUUUUCCAGAAAAAUCUUAUAUUUGCUAUUUUUCAGGGAAUCUGCAACUAUUAGAGAUGAAAAUGGUCUAAGAUGGAGUUCCUGUCGUGGCUCAGUGGUUAGUGAAUCCGACUAGGAACCAUGAGGUUGCGAGUUCCAUCCCUGGCCUUGCUCAGUGGGUUAAGGAUCCACCGUUUCCGUGAGCUGUGGUGUAGGUUGCAGACGCGGCUCGGAUCCCAUGUUACUGUGGCGGAUGUAGCCCUACAAAAGACCAAAAAAAAAAAAGAAAGAAAAAGAAAAAAAAAGAAAAAAGAAAAUGAUCUAAGAACUAUUCUAUUGAUAUCUGUAUCAGUCGGGAUAGAUCAAUUGUUAAUACAGUAGCCAGUUUUAGGAAAUUUAAGACCUGUAAGAUAAGAAGUUAAACAGGGAAUGACGGAGUAACCAUGGAUUAGCAAAAUCUACCAUCUAGGGAAAAAGGUAUAAAAACAGGAGAUGGUAUUAUCUUGAUCUCAAAGCCUGGGCUGUCUGUUAAGAGCUAGAAUCACAGGUGCUAUGGAUGGAGGGAAGAAAAGGAGAUACUAAAUAAUAUGUCCCCCAAAAGAGGGUAAGAGGGGGAAAUAUACUCUGGCUUUUCUCUGCUUUCUCCUCUCUAGUGUCCUAUCAGUUCUUCCAUUUGACUGAACUUAAUCAAACUUGGCAAGGGAGCUUGGGAAACUGUUUGUAGAAAAAGGGAAAGGAAUGGACAUGAGAACAAAUAGACAAUGAGGUAAGCGUUCUUCUACCCGGACUGCAGCAGAGCUAAGGGAGUGAAAAUAGAAUUUUGUUAGAGGAGAAAUACAGCAUGACGGAAUUCUUGUAACUCAGGCUAAUGUAAUUAAGAGAUUUUUCCAGACUCCAAUACCUUUUCCUCUAUCUUAUUGAAGGUUAAGAGUUUAGAAUGCAGCCCUAGAGUUCUCUAGCAUUGUAGAGAGUAUUACUAUUGUUGUCUAUUAUGAUUUAACCAUGAUGUUGAGGUUGAAGAAAGGAUAAGUCAGAGCAGAGUGUUACUAAAAUAGAAGCCCACCUCAAUCCUGCCCUGCUUACUACUGGGAACUCAGGAGGAAGUCCAGAAAACUCAAGUCAGAAUUUGUACAGACAAUGAGGUGCCUUGAUUUAUCAAUGUUUAGCUGCUUGGAUUCCUCUUCCCCCUCAAACCUCAGGGGUUGCUGAGACAGAACCCAGAAGUGGUUGAGAGUCCAGUUUGAAGCUCACCAGAGGGAACACUUAAGUGGGGGUGAAAUUGGCUGAUUUCACUCUACGUACCAGGGUCAGAGUGAGUCAAAGGAGACCAAGAGCUAGCUUGAGCAUCAGUGAAGACCAAAGUGAAGAAGCUCCCAAGGGCAUGCUAUUGUAUUGAACUCAAGCCUAGGUAUAUACCAAGCAUGUCCAUGAUAUGUACCAAAAACAGACUUGGUAGCAAACCAAUAGGCAGGCAACACUCAGAAUAGGAGUAGAUUUGUCCGUGCCCUCACAGACAUUCACAUGCCUGUGAAUCUUUCUCUGUAAUAUGAGACUGAGUAGUGUUAUUCAUCCAACCUAUAUCUAGAUGCCAUCUUAGAAAGGAAAAGAAGAAAAGGUAGAAAAUGUAGAAAUUUGUGCCUAUUAACAGUCUUUUUUUGAGAGCGAGUUGAGCAAAAAUUAAUGCCAGUGUUUAAUAUUUUAGAUAAAGCUAAAUUUCAGACUGAAUAAAACAUGUAAUUCCCACACCCCAUUAAUCAUGAUCUAGUGAAGAAAGUGAGAGUACAUAUAAAAAUAAAUACUUUUUUUCCUGUAUUUUAGAAUUUUGAUAUGAGUGAGGACAGGUACUAUUCUAAACAUUUUACAGAUGGUCAUUUAAUUCUCAUAACAAUCCUUAUGAAAUAGAGCCUACUACUCUCCCUUCUUUAUAGGCAAGGAAACUGAAUCCAAUGCCUCUCUCCCUACCUACCAUUUAAAUUAAAAAAAAAAAAAGUGUUUCAUCUGCUCAUUCUGAUGUCAUGCGUAUAUGAAAAUAGUAAAUAACAGUGAUAAGAGUAAAAGCAAAAUUUUCUGAUUAUUCCAAGAAUAUUGCAUAUUAUUUAUUCAUUUUUCAGUCAUUAUUAGAGAAGCUAGAAGGAAUUACCUGUAGCUUUCUAGAAUAUGAAUAAAAAAGGCUAUAGCAGAUGCAUUUCUAUGUUU
rnacentral:lncRNA from 1 species